UACGUAGGGUGCGAGCGUUAAUCGGAAUUACUGGGCGUAAAGCGUGCGCAGGCGGUUGUGCAAGACAGGUGUGAAAUCCCCGGGCUUAACCUGGGAACUGCACUUGUGACUGCAAGGCUUGAGUGCGGCAGAGGGGGAUGGAAUUCCGCGUGUAGCAGUGAAAUGCGUAGAUAUGCGGAGGAACACCGAUGGCGAAGGCAAUCCCCUGGGCCUGCACUGACGCUCAUGCACGAAAGCGUGGGGAGCAAACAGG
rnacentral:rRNA from 1 species